rnacentral:rRNA from 1 species
AAAUUGAAGAGUUUGAUCAUGGCUCAGAUUGAACGCUGGCGGCAGGCCUAACACAUGCAAGUCGAACGGUAACAGGAAGCAGCUUGCUGCUUUGCUGACGAGUGGCGGACGGGUGAGUAAUGUCUGGGAAACUGCCUGAUGGAGGGGGAUAACUACUGGAAACGGUGGCUAAUACCGCAUAACGUCGCAAGACCAAAGAGGGGGACCUUCGGGCCUCUUGCCAUCAGAUGUGCCCAGAUGGGAUUAGCUUGUUGGUGAGGUAACGGCUCACCAAGGCGACGAUCCCUAGCUGGUCUGAGAGGAUGACCAGCCACACUGGAACUGAGACACGGUCCAGACUCCUACGGGAGGCAGCAGUGGGGAAUAUUGCACAAUGGGCGCAAGCCUGAUGCAGCCAUGCCGCGUGUAUGAAGAAGGCCUUCGGGUUGUAAAGUACUUUCAGCGGGGAGGAAGGUGUUGUGGUUAAUAACCACAGCAAUUGACGUUACCCGCAGAAGAAGCACCGGCUAACUCCGUGCCAGCAGCCGCGGUAAUACGGAGGGUGCAAGCGUUAAUCGGAAUUACUGGGCGUAAAGCGCACGCAGGCGGUCUGUCAAGUCGGAUGUGAAAUCCCCGGGCUCAACCUGGGAACUGCAUUCGAAACUGGCAGGCUUGAGUCUUGUAGAGGGGGGUAGAAUUCCAGGUGUAGCGGUGAAAUGCGUAGAGAUCUGG